rnacentral:rRNA from 1 species
GGAUGCGAUCAUACCAGCACUAAAGCACCGGAUCCCAUCAGAACUCCGAAGUUAAGCGUGCUUGGGCGAGAGUAGUACUAGGAUGGGUGACCUCCGGGGAAGUCCUCGUGUUGCAUUCC